rnacentral:rRNA from 1 species
UACGGAGGGGGCUAGCGUUGUUCGGAAUUACUGGGCGUAAAGCGUGCGCAGGCGGUUUUCCAAGUCAGUGGUGAAAGCCCGGAGCUCAACUCCGGAACUGCCAUUGAAACUGUGAGACUCGAGUACGAGAGAGGUGAGUGGAAUUCCCAGUGUAGAGGUGAAAUUCGUAGAUAUUGGGAAGAACACCGGUGGCGAAGGCGGCUCACUGGCUCGUAACUGACGCUCAUGCACGACAGCGUGGGGAUCAAACAGG